rnacentral:tRNA from 1 species
GUCCCCGUAGCUUAACGGAUAAAGUAGCAGCCUUCGAAGCUGUUGAUGAGGGUUCGAUUCCUUCCGGGGACA